UAAAUUGUAUCCGUGCGUCGCUGUCCGUCGAUUAUUAUGCUAUUAUUAAUAUGGUAUUGCACAUGUGAUUUUAAACGCUUUAUUUUUGUGUACCCUUAAGCUUUUAACUUUGUAAACGUUAAUCAAUAAUUAAAUGUAUUUUUUAUUUAAAUAUAA